GAUGCAGUAGCGCAGUGGUUAGGUAGGUUUGACUUGAGAUCAAGAAGUCCUGAGUUUGAGUCUUUGCUACAGCC